rnacentral:rRNA from 1 species
UAGAUACCCUGGUAGUCCACGCCCUAAACGAUGUCAACUAGGCGUCGGGUUGUAUAGACUCGGUGCCGCAGCUAACGCAUUAAGUUGACCGCCUGGGGAGUACGGCCGCAAGGUUGAAACUCAAAGAAAUUGACGGGGACCCGCACAAGCGGUGGAGCAUGUGGUUUAAUUCGAUGCAACGCGAAGAACCUUACCAGCUGACAUCCAGAGAACUUAGCAGAGAUGCUUUGGUGCCUUCGGGAACUCUGAG